ACUGUUAACACAUAGUAGGAUACUCAUUACUUUGUGUGACAGGUUUCCCCAAUGUCAUUGGUGCAGUGGACUGCACACACAUAAGGAUAAAAGCCCCUCAGGUGCCCAUGAGGCCGAUUUUGUGAAUAGGAAAUCCUUUCACAGCAUUAAUGUUCAGAUGGUCUGCAAUGCUGACUGUGUGAUCAGCAAUGUUGUGGCAAAAUGGCCUGGCUCAGUCCAUGACUCCAGAAUCUUUCGGGCCUCUGAAAUCUAUCAGUGCCUAUCACAAGGUGAAUUCUCUGGUGUGUUGCUGGGAGACAGGGGUAUGGCUGCCAGCCUUUUCUCCUGACACCUUUCACAGACCCCCAGGAAGCACAGCAGGCCUACAACCAUGCCCAUGCCAGGACCAGGGCCAGAGUUGAAAUGACCUUUGGCCUCCUGAAGGCACGCUUUCACUGCCUUCACAAAUUAAGGGUCAGCCCUGUUAGGGCAUGUGAUAUUACUGUGGCUUGUGCUGUCCUCCACAAUGUGGCCUGCCUGAGGAAGGAGAGGGCCCCCAGAGUGCCACCAGCCAUGGACUGGGACAAUCCGGCAAUCUUCCCUGAUGACGACAGUGGUCGGCUGCUGAGGGACCAAUAUGUGUUGAAUUAUUUUAGUUAGUAUGUGUGCUUUCAAUUUUGGUUAAAUAUGUCCUGCGGUGGCAGAGGAAUUUGGUUUUUUUUGGGUUCGUUUUUUGACGAAUUUGGCCUCUUAUGAUGUUUGUGCGGUAUACUGUGUGUAAUACAAGGCUGCAGGGAGGCUACUGCAUCCAUUCAUUUGUCUGUUCAGUUGAUGUGUAUGGAUUUGUCCUGCAUUUAUUUUAGUGUGCAGACAUGCAGGGUGUGUUAUAUACAGACCUUUGAAUGUGUAUGUAUCAUUUUGUAUAAUAUGCUUGGAUUCUGUGCUUUCCAUCUUGUAGAGUCACUGUGACUUCAGUUUCGAAAGGAGCUGAUGGUUUACCUGCUUUGUUUUGUCCUUAUUCAAUAAAGGAACAUAAUGUUACACAUUGUGUUUUUAUAUUCAUA